CAAAAUUCCUGCUGAGGCCUCACAACCCCUGUGUGCAAAGCAGAUGUCACACUGGGCGUGAUAAGACACCAGACAACUGAGCUUGACCCUGCUGGCCCCUCACCCUGCAAUCUUGACAGUAACCCCUGCUCACAUGCGUCCUCAUUCUCUUUCCUCCUCUCCACUCAACAUUCACCUCCACCCCGUCUCCUUGACCUCCUCACCAAGUGUUGUGUGCACACCUAUCCCUUCUCCAACAGGAGGAGCCUGCUACUCUAAUCCAAUGCCCAGCACCAGAGGGCAUUACUUCAUCACCACCAUCAUUGUCCGUAUCGUCGCCCUCAUCAUUAGUUAUAAAUCUCAUCAUCAACCUUCUGUGUGUCAGGCCCCAUCACAGCUAAGUCUCAGGACACAGGGUGCCCCAACCAAACCAGGUGUGAAUUCUCCGUGGAUGAAGAGAGCAACAACACCUGAGAAGCAGAGCAGAUUGACACAGUGCAGCUCCCUAACACUCAGUUUCUCCUUUGUGGAGAAGAGUAGAUGCCAUUUGCACCACCACACAGGCAGCCAAUACACCUUUAUGUCGUCAUCCUCUAAGAACUCUAUGUAUCCACACCUCCCCUCAAGAUCCAUCUCUCCACCCCUGGAAACCAUGCUUCGGUUCUAGCUGAAAGGGCCUACGCCAAGUUGUAGCAGCCAGCCUCAUCUGCAAGCAGAUUCGCAGUGAAAGUGCUGACAUACUGAACAACCACAUAAACAGCUGCUGCUAAUGACUGUCACCACUGACUAAUGCCCAGGAAGAUAAGCACAACUAUGCUAUUCAAAUCUGUUCUUCAGUAUUAAGGAAUCAUCUAUAUUAUGAAAUUAUUACUAUAUUGCUACUAUGCUGAGAUGUUCAGUGUCAAAUUGCCACUGAUUUAUACUCUCAUAGUCAUAAGGAAAGAGAAGUAACACCUAUAUCCAAAUGUGAAACAGAUUUUCCUCUCUUUAUAAGGGCAGCAUUUUCACCACGUGCUAACUAAAUGGAGUGAUAUGAUAAAUCAAAAUUGCUGAAGUAUUAUUUUGUACUAAAAGAACAUCGACUAUUGUUUCUGUACAAUCACUACUGCUCAGCACUUUCAUCCUCCUCCCUAACAAGAGCCAAGAACUGCAGGGCCACAAGCACGACGCUGUCUGAACCCUGGGGACAUUUAUCCUUCAGAAGUCAGUGAAAAUGCACAGAGAAUCACUUUGAGGCAAGGAGUGUGCUGAGAACCCGCGUGUUCCUGCUCUGACGUUCAGCUCUCCACUUCACAGGCUCCUCCUCCUUCAUCCUGCACACACUGGUCUCUCUCCCAGGUCAGUCUGCAGCCGCUGAAUAAAUUACACAACCUCCCUGACUUCAAGCCUCUCUGACAAAUUGUUGUAAAGAUUAAAUGACACAUGGUGUAGAGGCCACCUAGAGAAACCCUCUCAGUAAGUGUCAGUUCUCUUUUCCAACUCUGUCCCCAUUUCCACCUUCUCCCCAAACAACCUCCG